GGAGAAUGGAUCCUAACAUUGCCGAAGUUGCAAGACAACAGAGAGGAAGAGGACAAGGACGAGGAUGACAACAAAGACAAGUAAUCUCAGAUUAAAUCCGUGCCACCCUAGUUCAUCAUGUGCUCAUACAUGGGAGGACUAUUAGAGAAGCUGGACAGCUAGCGCAAGCCAACCUAAGCCGUUACACGGUUGCAUACAUUGUCUGUACUUUCAGAAAGGAAAACAGAACAGAGGCGGCCAUCCAUUGGAGGUAGGCGGAGACUACUCACAGCCGAGCAGGAGACUGCCCUGGUGAAUAUGGCGAUUGCCAAUAAUGCAAUCCGUUUGAGGGAAAUUCAAACCCAAAUAGUUGCAGACCAGGUAGUCUUCAAGGAAUUGACAGCAUCAGCAUUUCCACAAUUGACCGGAUCGUUCAGAAGAACCACAUAAGGACAAGGCAGCUGUACCGUGUGCCUUUUGAAAGGAAUUCAGUGAUAAGGAGCAACGAUUCCAAUAUGUGCAGAGUAUCUUUGAGCUGGAUGCCAUGGCUGACCCACUGUAGUACAUUUUCAUCGACUAGGCAGGGUUCAACCUAACAAAAGGGGGCACAACAUCAUUGGUCGCCGUGCCAUCAUACAAGUUCCUGGUCAGAAGGGAGGGUGACGUUGCCUCCCAUGUGCAGUAAUCGUGGCGUCCUCCACCGCCACGUCAAACAUAUUCCCCAUUUCUGAAUCCAAUUGAGGAAUUUUUCUCAACAUGGCAGUGGAGAGUGUAUGACUGCAACCUCUACGCACAGCAAAACCUCCUGGAGGCAAUGGUAGACGCCUGUGGUGAUGUGCCUGUGGUGUCUAGCCAGGGUUUUCUAAGGCAUACAAGGGCAUUUUUCCCCCACGGCCUGGUAAGAGCAAACAUAAUGUGUGACACUGAUGCUGAGUAACCUGUACAUUUGCUGCAUUUGGAAAUAAAGCUUUUGGAAAUGGGUA
ensembl:lncRNA